rnacentral:rRNA from 1 species
AAAAGCACUUNGGAAAGAGAGUUAAACAGUACGUGAAAUUGUUGAAAGGGAAGCGCUUGCAACCAGACCUGCCCGUGGGUGCUCAGCGGAGGUUCUCCCCCGUGCACUCGCCCACGAUCAGGCCAGCAUCAGUUCCGGCGACCGGAUAAAGGCCCCAAGAAUGUGGCUCCUCUCGGGGAGUGUUAUAGCUUGGGGUGGCAUACGGCCAGCUGGGACUGAGGACCGCGCUUCGGCAAGGAUGCUGGCNUAAUGGUUGUAAGCGGCCCGUCUUGAAACACGGACCAAGGAGUCGACCUAUUAUGCGAGUGUUUGGGUGUCAAACCCAUGCGCGCAAUGAAAGUGAACGGAGGUCANAGCCCUUUAGGGUGCAUGAUCGACCGAUCCUG